ensembl:snRNA U4 U4 spliceosomal RNA
AACUUUGCGCAAUGGCAGUAUCCUGGCCAAUGAGGUUUAUCCAAAGCGCGAUUAUUGCUAAUUAAAAAGAGCCAUUUCGUUCAUAUGAAACAAUAUGGGACUCUGAACCACUCAAAGAAUUUGAACCAGACAAAUGUCU